UGCCCUGUAGUAUAAUUAUUACUGUAAACUGCAACUUUACCAAUGCUAAGGCCAGAGCGU
rnacentral:tRNA from 1 species